rnacentral:rRNA from 1 species
GAUGAACGCUGGCGGCGUGCCUAAUACAUGCAAGUCGAGCGAACGGACGAGAAGCUUGCUUCUCUGAUGUUAGCGGCGGACGGGUGAGUAACACGUGGAUAACCUACCUAUAAGGCUGGGAUAACUUCGGGAAACCGGAGCUAAUACCGGAUAAUAUUUUGAAUCGCAUGGUUCAAAAGUGAAAGACGGUCUUGCUGUCACUUAUAGAUGGAUCCGCGCUGCAUUAGCUAGUUGGUAAGGUAACGGCUUACCAAGGCAACGAUGCAUAGCCGACCUGAGAGGGUGAUCGGCCACACUGGAACUGAGACACGGUCCAGACUCCUACGGGAGGCAGCAGUAGGGAAUCUUCCGCAAUGGGCGAAAGCCUGACGGAGCAACGCCGCGUGAGUGAUGAAGGUCUUCGGAUCGUAAAACUCUGUUAUUAGGGAAGAACAUAUGUGUAAGUAACUGUGCACAUCUUGACGGUACCUAAUCAGAAAGCCACGGCUAACUACGUG